AUGAACGCUGGCGGCGUGCCUAAUACCUGCAAGUCGAGCGAACAGACGAGGAGCUUGCUCCUCUGACGUUAGCGGCGGACGGGUGAGUAACACGUGGAUAACCUACCUAUAAGACUGGGAUAACUUCGGGAAACCGGAGCUAAUACCGGAUAAUAUAUUGAACCGCAUGGUUCAAUAGUGAAAGACGGUUUUGCUGUCACUUAUAGAUGGAUCCGCGCCGCAUUAGCUAGUUGGUAAGGUAACGGCUUACCAAGGCAACGAUGCGUAGCCGACCUGAGAGGGUGAUCGGCCACACUGGAACUGAGACACGGUCCAGACUCCUACGGGAGGCAGCAGUAGGGAAUCGUCCGCAAUGGGCGAAAGCCUUACGGAGCAACGCCGCGUGAGUGAUGAAGGUCUUCGGAUCGUAAAACUCUGUUAUUAGGGAAGAACAAAUGUGUAAGUAACUAUGCACGUCUUGACGGUACCUAAUCAGAAAGCCACGGCUAACUACGUG
rnacentral:rRNA from 1 species